rnacentral:rRNA from 1 species
UACAGAGGGGGCAAGCGUUAUUCGGAAUUAUUGGGCGUAAAGGGCGCGUAGGCGGCCUGGCAAGUGGAAGGUGAAAUCCCUCGGCUUAACCGAGGAACUGCCUUCCAAACUGCUUGGCUUGAGUCCGGGAGAGGUGAGUGGAAUUCCCAGUGUAGCGGUGAAAUGCGUAGAUAUUGGGAGGAACACCGGUGGCGAAGGCGGCCAUCUGGACCGGCACUGACGCUGAGGCGCGAAAGCGUGGGGAGCAAACAGG